AAAAUUUGAAGCCCAAACACCUUACCCAUGCCCAAUUCCCCAUCAGAUUUCCUUUUUGGAAUAAAAUUAAAAUCCCUACACAAUAACCCCUCAUCUUCUUCAACCUAGGAAAACAUUAAAGAUCUAAAAUCAUCUGAACUUCACUCAAAACACACAGUCGCCGACCAACUCCACCAUUCUCACCGCCAGCGAACUCCUCCAAACGACCACCCCUUCAGCCAUCUCCUCACCUGCUGCUGCUUCACUCACACUACACCCACCCGUCUCCCUCACGCUAGAAAACAUGCAUAAAACAGCUGCACCCGACCUCAACACCCAAGGACUGCCCUAUCUCAAAAUCAGAUUUUAUAGAUACAAAAAAAAAAACCUAGGGCCUAAUCUAGACGAAGAGCAGCGACAAUUCGUUCACCUUAACCUCUAAGUCAUAGUUGUUUCCACCUUCUUCUCCUUUACAAAAAGAAGCAGUCAUCCUCACCAAAAACACCACCAAGGUGCCGACUUACCCUAGAUCCAAAACAUAAAGCCAGCAGCACCAAAAACACACACAGAGGACGAAACUCGAUCUGGUCGGUCCUGAGUUUGAGUCGAAGAGGUCUGUCAAAGAGAUUCGCGGUCCGAGCUGCUACUACUGUUGCACUUUCGGGUCAGAUUUGGUUUUUCGGGAUUUGCUAUGACUAAAGUCAUGUUUAAUAUGAAGAAAUCAUUGAUGAGGUUCAAUUUUCUCUUAUCUCAUAUGUGCUUUGCUCUUUUCAUUAUUUUGUUUAUGGUUUUGGAAUGUUUCAUGUCCUGUUUUGUGUUUUAAUUUGCUUUCCUUGAUUCACUAUAGUCUUUUGCAUUACUGUUAAUUUCGUAUUGGACUAGUUUGAAUUAAUUGGGUUAAACUUGAAGUGCAUCUGUAAUAUUAAGGCAAAUAAGUCACAAUUUGAUAAAAUGAAAAAAAUUGAAUUUGGUCAAGGGGUUGGUUUAUUACAAGCAUGGACUUUGUAAAGGCAUACUGGACCGACAUUUGAGCUUGGAUCGAUUUUCUUAGUUCUUUAUCUUGCUUUGUUGCUUUUAAUCGUUAGGAGCAUGUUUAGGCCGUUAAUGUUCGGGCAGGCAAACUCAAGGAUUUUGUUUUUUUAAUUUUGAGGUAAGAGGUCGUUUCCUUAAUUAAAUUUAUCUGGGGAAUGCCCCGAAGAAUUUGUAUAUAUUUUUAUCCGGGGUAUGCCCCGUAGUAUCAUGUAUUUGGAGGCCAUGACGAACCUUGGGGAAAAGUAUAGUAUAUAUUAGUGUUUUGGACUUUAUUUUAAUUUUCUUUUCUAUUUUCUUUUAUUAGGUGGGGAUGACCUCGAGCCACUGGUAUGUUUAUUUCGUUUUGUGUAUUUUUGCCUCAAUUAGAAUAUCCUAUAAAGCCGACUAGAUCAAGUAUGCAACCGUACUAGUUACGGAACUUGGGGAGUUCCUAACACCUUCUCCCUGAGUCAAAUAAACCCCCUUACCCAAAUCUCUGGUGCAGACUUAGUUUUGGAGUCUAAAGUGUUUCAAAAGGAAAAUCAUUUUUAAAAAAACGGAGACCUAACACACCGAAAUCAAAUGUCAGGUGACGACUCUGAGUUAUUUCCUUUUGAACGCAAUUUUUGUCACGUUCUAAUUGGAAAACCCUUUUCAAGCUUUACAAAUCUUUUUAUUAAUUUAAGAGGGUUAGUGAAGUUUUGGUUAAAAAAGGGGUGUGACAUCUCUGGCGACUCUGCUGGGGAAUUGCAGGUUCGAGAUGGUACUUGAUCUUGUUGACUUUUUAGGAUAUUCGGUUGAGGUUUUUAUGUGUUUUGUUUGCUUUAUUUGAUUUUUAUUUUGUUUAUGUCGUUUCAUUUAGUUGCCNNNNNNNNNNNNNNNNNNNNNNNNNNNNNNNNNNNNNNNNNNNNNNNNNNNNNNNNNNNNNNNNNNNNNNNNNNNNNNNNNNNNNNNNNNNNNNNNNNNNNNNNNNNNNNNNNNNNNNNNNNNNNNNNNNNNNNNNNNNNCAUGUCAUUUACACCUAGUAGGACUCAGUCCCAGGCAUCGUAUCCUUUUGUAGGAACCCUAUCCAAAUUUUGUCAAAAAUGUGGCCGUGGCCCAAAAUGACAUUCAAUCAUCUUUAUGUGAUCCAUGUUGCAUCUUUGAGGGUAAAAAGGUCAUUUGGCAGACCGAUGUUUGUGAAAGAAGGGUGAUAUAAAGCAAGUAGGGCCUAGUUAUAUUUUUCUUUCACAAUUUUUUCAAAAAAAGACAAAAAAAAUUGACAAUGAAAAAUCCAAAAAAAGAUUUUGUAAUUUCCCAUCAUUUUCCAAAAAAAAGAAAAUCCAAAAAGAUUUUACACUUUUCCAUCAUUUUCCAAAAAAAAAAGAAGAAAAAGAAAAUCCAAAAAGAUUUUACACUUUUCCAUCAUUUUCCAAAAACUCAAAAAAAAAAGAGAAAAAAAAAGAAAAUCCAAACAGAUUUUACCUUUUCCAUCAUUUUUCAAAUUGACAAAAAAAUAUAGUUUUUCCAAACUAGUUGCAUUUUUUAAGCUUUCUCCCAUAUCCAAUCUUCCCGAACUACGCAUACCUGAUUCUCGCCUCUCGGAGCAGGAUAUGUAGGCAGCCCACAUAGGGUCCGGUCUUCCUAGUAAGCCUUAGGUUAUUGGCUUUGCGGGGUAUUAGCCAAAUUUUGCAUGUUUAGCCAUUUUUUGCCACAUCGGUCAUUUUUGCAAAAUGAGGUCAUUUUUGCAAAAGUGGUUCAAUUACCCAUGUCUUAGGAUUUUGAGUCCACAACUAGGUGUCGUAUUACUUUAAGGUCCAUCCUUUUUUUUUGAGUUUGCAUCUUUAGCCACUCUUGGCCACGUAGGUCAUUUUGCAAAAAUAGCCUUAAUCAUGUCUUGCAUGUGUCCACUAGAAGGUGUCGUGGCGUCACAUGUGUCUUGAGUCGCUAACUCUAUUUGAUCUUAUUUUUUCCAUUCAGGUAUGUAUCAAUUUGCUAGAGUUUGAGCAUGACAAAAGUCAUUCUAGUCAAGACCAUUGCAUGCACGAGCUGCUUGAGGAAACUUUUUAUUUUUUAGUCUAUUUUAUGUUGUCUUUUAAUUAUUAGUCUUGUACAGUAGUAUUGAGUCUGUCAGUCUAGUUAAGAUUGUCAAGUCUUUCAUUAUCGUACUAUCUGUUUUGUAUUUGAAAAACCAAAAAAAUUAUAAAUGAAAAUCCAAAAAGAUUUUUAUUUUUAGUUUAUUUGUCCAUUACUUUUUCCAGAACUACGCUUGAUCUGAUUCAUGAGGGACAUGAUGUGUAGGCAACCUACAUAGGGUUCGAUCGUAUCAUUUCUUUUUCAAAAAAUCAAA
rnacentral:lncRNA from 1 species